rnacentral:lncRNA from 1 species
UGCAGAUAUUCUUUGUUAUUCCAUCAUCAUCUCAAACCUCUUGGGUAUAGUGUUUGAAUGCUACUCUGACCAUAAAUUCCAAUAAAACCUAGGAAAAAAUGAAACUACUAUAUUAACUGAAAGGGAAGCAUUUGACAGCUUCUCUUGGGCAUAUCAGAAUCGCCAGCAUCACUACUCUUGCACUGUGGGGCCAUUAUUAAGUGAAAUAAGGAUUACUUGAACACAAGCACUGCAAUACCGCUACAGUCAAUGUGAUAACCCAGCUGGUGACUAAGUGACCAAGGACAGGGAGCAUCUACAGUGGGGAGACUCUGGAAAAAGGGAGGAUUCACAUCCAGUGCCACUGGGGCAGCUCAGAGUGAGAGUUCAUCAUGCUACACAGAAUGGCACACAAU